rnacentral:rRNA from 1 species
UUCUAAUUGCUUCAUAAUUAGUAAGACCUGCUCACUGGUUAUCUUAAAAGCCGCGUAUGUGCUAAGGUAGCAUAAUAAUUUGCCUGAUAAUUUCAGGAUAGAAUGAACGGUUUAACAUGAAAUUUUCUUUAUUAACUUUAUAAUUUGAAAUUUACAUGAAAGUAAAAAGGCUUUCAUAUUCAGAAGGACGACAAGACCCUGACGAACUUUACUUUAGUUUGGCUGGGGCGGCAAAAAACAAAAGCUUUAAUUCUAUUUCUUUUUAUUCUAUUUUUUGAUUUCUAGUUACCGCAGGGAUAACAGCAUAAUCUGCUUAUAGAGUCCUUAUCAUAAAGCAGGCUUGUGACCUCGAUGUUGAAUAAAAUUCUUUUUGGGGCAGAACCUAAAAACAGAAAGUCUGUUCGACUUUUAAUAAUUUACA